AGUGAACGCUGGCGGUAUGCCUAACACAUGCAAGUCGAACGGCAGCACAGUAAGUGCUUGCUCUUACGGGUGGCGAGUGGCGGACGGUUGAGGAAUACAUCGGAUUCUACUUUUUCGUGGGGGAUAACGUAGGGAAACUUCCUCUAAUACCGGAUACGACCUCCGUGGGUAAGCAGGGGAUCUUCGGACCUUUCGCGAGUGAAUGAGCCGAUGUCGGAUUAGCUAGUUGGCGGGGUAAAGGCGCACCACGGCGACGAUCGGUAGCUGGUCUGAGAGGGUGAACAGACACAUGGGAAGUGAGACAGGGCACAGACACCGGCGGGAGGCAGCAGUCGGGAAUAUUGGGCGAGGCGGGAAAGCCGGAUACUGCAAUACCGCGUGAGUGAAGAACGCGCUAGGGUGGUAAAGUCAUGUUGUUGUGAAAGAAAAACAGCUGGUUAAUCCCGCGCUGUAAUGACGGUACCGAAAGAAUAAGCUCCGGCUAACUUCGUG
rnacentral:rRNA from 1 species